rnacentral:rRNA from 1 species
CUACCAUGCAGUCGAGCGGCUAGCACGGAGAGCUUGCUCUCGGGGGACGAGUGGCGGACGGGUGAGUAAUGUCUGGGAAACUGCCUGAUGGAGGGGGAUAACUACUGGAAACGGAAUGUAAUACCGCAUAACGUCCCAAGACCAAAGAGGGGGACCUUCGGGCCUCUUGCCAUCAGAUGUGCCCUGAUGGGAUUAGCUAGUAGGUGGGGUAACGGCUCACCUAGGCGACGAUCCCUAGCUGGUCUGAGAGGAUGACCAGCCACACUGGAACUGAGACACGGACCAGACUCCUACGGGAGGCAGCAAUGGGGAAUAUUGCACAAUGGGCGCAAGCCUGAUGCAGCCAUGCCGCGUGUAUGAAGAAGGCCUUCGGGUUGUAAAGUACUUUCAGCGGGGAGGAAGGCGAUAAGGUUAAUAACCUUGUCGAUUGACGUUACCCGCAGAAGAACACCGGCUAACUCCGUGCCAGCAGCCGCGGUAAUACGGAGGGUGCAAGCGUUAAUCGGAAUUACUGGACGUAAAGCGCACGCAGGCGGUCUGUCAAGUCGGAUGUGAAAUCCCCGGGCUCAACCUGGGAACUGCAUUCGAAACUGGCAGGCUAGAGUCUUGUAGAGCGGGGGUAGAAUUCCAGGUGUAGCGGUGAAAUGCGUAGAGAUCUGGAGGAAUACCGGUGGCGAAGGCGGCCCCACUAGAGUGUAGUAGAGGAGGGUAGAAUUUCCAGGUGUAGCGGUGAAAUGCGUAGAGAUAUGGAGGAAUACCGGUGGCGAAGGCGGCCUCUCUGGACAAAGACUGACGCUCAGGUGCGAAAGCGUGGGGAGCAAACAGGAUUAGAUACCCUGGUAGUCCACGCCGUAAACGAUGUAGACUUAGAGGUUGUGCCCUAGAGGCGUGGCUUCCGGAGCUUACGCGUUAAGUCGACCGCCUGGGGAGUACGGCCGCAAGGUUAAAACUCAAAUGAAUUGACGGGGGCCCGCACAAGCGGUGGAGCAUGUGGUUUAAUUUGAUACAACGCGAAGAACCUUACCUACUUUUGACAUCCAGAGAACUUAUCAGAGAUAUUUUGGUGCCUUUGGGAACUCUGAGUCCGGUGGUGCAUGGCUGUUGUCAGCUUGUGUUGUGAAAUGUUGGGUUAAGUUCCGCAACGAACGCCACCCUUAUCCUUUGUUGCCAGCCGUUAGGCCGGGCACUCAAAGGAGACUGCCAGUGAUAAACUGGAGGAAGGUGGGGAUGACGUCAAGUCAUCAUGCCCCUUACGAGUAGGGCUACACACGUGCUACAAUGGAGCAUACAAAGAGAAGCGACCUCGCGAGAGCAAGCGGACCUCAUAAAGUGCGUCGUAGUCCGGAUUGGAGUCUGCAACUCGACUCCAGGAAGUCGGAAUCGUUAGUAAUCGUGGAUCACAAUGCCACGGUGAAUACGUUCCCGGCCCUUGUCCACCCCGCCCGUCCCACCAU